ACGCUCGACACCUACGGGAGGCAGCAGUGGGGAAUAUUGCACAAUGGGGGAAACCCUGAUGCAGCGACGCCGCGUGAGCGAAGAAGUAUUUCGGUAUGUAAAGCUCUAUCAGCAGGGAAGAAACUGACGGUACCUGACUAAGAAGCACCGGCUAAAUACGUGCCAGCAGCCGACGGUAAUCUGAGGCGGGCGUGGCAAGGC
rnacentral:rRNA from 1 species